UACGGGGGGGGCAAGCGUUGUUCGGAAUUACUGGGCGUAAAGGGCUCGUAGGUGGCCAACUAAGUCAGACGUGAAAUCCCUCGGCUUAACCGGGGAACUGCGUCUGAUACUGGAUGGCUUGAGUUUGGGAGAGGGACGCGGAAUUCCAGGUGUAGCGGUGAAAUGCGUAGAUAUCUGGAGGAAUACCGGUGGCGAAGGCGGCAUCCUGGACCGACAUUGACGCUGAUGAGCGAAAGCUAGGGGAGCAAACGGG
rnacentral:rRNA from 1 species